rnacentral:rRNA from 1 species
GUUGAACGCUGGCGGCAUGCCUUACACGUGCAAGUCGAACGGUAACGGGCCUUCGGGUGCCGACGAGUGGCGAACGGGUGAGUAAUGUAUCGGAACGUACCUUUCAGUGGGGGAUAACGUAGCGAAAGUUACGCCAAUACCGCAUAUUCUGUGAGCAGGAAAGCAGGGGAUCGCAAGACCUUGCGCUGAUUGAGCGGCCGAUAUCGGAUUAGCUAGUUGGUGAGGUAAAGGCUCACCAAGGCGACGAUCUGUAGCGGGUCUGAGAGGAUGAUCCGCCACACUGGAACUGAGACACGGUCCAGACUCCUACGGGAGGCAGCAGUGGGGAAUUUUGGACAAUGGGGGCAACCCUGAUCCAGCCAUGCCGCGUGAGUGAAGAAGGCCUUCGGGUUGUAAAGCUCUUUCGGCCGGGAAGAAAUCGUAUCAGCUAAUACCUGGUGCGGAUGACGGUACCGGCAUAAGAAGCACCGGCUAACUACGUGCCAGCCGCCGCGGUAAAAC